UACGUAGGGUGCAAGCGUUGUCCGGAAUUACUGGGUGUAAAGGGUGCGCAGGCGGGUCUGUGCGUCGGAGGUUAAAGACCUCGGCUUAACCGAGGAAGUGCCUUCGAAACGGCAGAUCUUGAAUGUGAGAGAGGAUGAUAGAAUUCCUGGUGUAGCGGUGAAAUGCGUAGAUAUCAGGAGGAAUACCAGUGGCGAAGGCGGUCAUCUGGCUCACAAUUGACGCUCAGGCACGAAAGCGUGGGGAGCAAACAGG
rnacentral:rRNA from 1 species